GGGGAAUAUUGGACAAUGGGCGCAAGCCUGAUCCAGCCAUGCCGCGUGAGUGAAGACGGCCUUCGGGUUGUAAAGCUCUUUUGUCCGGAAAGAAAAGCUCUCGGUUAAUACCCGGGGGUUCUGACGGUACCGGAAGAAUAAGCACCGGCUAACUUCGUGCCAGCAGCCGCGGUAAUACGAAGGGUGCAAGCGUUACUCGGAAUUACUGGGCGUAAAGCGUGCGUAGGUGGUUCGUUAAGUCUGAUGUGAAAGCCCUGGGCUCAACCUGGGAAUGGCAUUGGAUACUGGCGAUCUAGAGUGCGGUAGAGGGCAGUGGAAUUCCCGGUGUAGCAGUGAAAUGCGUAGAGAUCGGGAGGAACAUCUGUGGCGAAGGCGACUGCCUGGACCAGCACUGACACUGAGGCACGAAAGCGCGGGGAGCAAC
rnacentral:rRNA from 1 species